rnacentral:rRNA from 1 species
UACGAAGGGGGCUAGCGUUGUUCGGAAUUACUGGGCGUAAAGCGCACGUAGGCGGAUCGAUCAGUCAGGGGUGAAAUCCCGCAGCUCAACUGCGGAACUGCCUUUGAUACUGUCGGUCUAGAGUAUGGAAGAGGUGAGUGGAAUUCCGAGUGUAGAGGUGAAAUUCGUAGAUAUUCGGAGGAACACCAGUGGCGAAGGCGGCUUACUGGUCCAUUACUGACGCUGAGGUGCGAAAGCGUGGGGAGCAAACAGG